rnacentral:rRNA from 1 species
UGGGGAAUAUUGCACAAUGGGCGCAAGCCUGAUGCAGCGACGCCGCGUGAGGGAUGACGGCCUUCGGGUUGUAAACCUCUGUUAGCAGGGAAGAAGAGAGAUUGACGGUACCUGCAGAGAAAGCGCCGGCUAACUACGUGCCAGCAGCCGCGGUAAUACGUAGGGCGCGAGCGUUGUCCGGAAUUAUUGGGCGUAAAGAGCUUGUAGGCGGUUUGUCGCGUCUGCUGUGAAAGGCCGGGGCUUAACUCCGUGUAUUGCAGUGGGUAAGGGCAGACUAGAGUGCAGUAGGGGAGACUGGAAUUCCUGGUGUAGCGGUGGAAUGCGCAGAUAUCAGGAGGAACACCGAUGGCGAAGGCAGGUCUCUGGGCUGUAACUGACGCUGAGAAGCGAAAGCAUGGGGAGCGAACAGG